rnacentral:rRNA from 1 species
AGGAAUAUUGGUCAAUGGGCGCGAGCCUGAACCAGCCAAGUAGCGUGAAGGAUGAAGGUCCUAUGGAUUGUAAACUUCUUUUAUACGGGAAUAAAGUGGUCCACGUGUGGACUUUUGCAUGUACCGUAUGAAUAAGCAUCGGCUAACUCCGUGCCAGCAGCCGCGGUAAUACGGAGGAUGCGAGCGUUAUCCGGAUUUAUUGGGUUUAAAGGGAGCGCAGACGGGGGAUUAAGUCAGUUGUGAAAGUUUGCGGCUCAACCGUAAAAUUGCAGUUGAUACUGGUUCCCUUGAGUGCAGUUGAGGCAGGCGGAAUUCGUGGUGUAGCGGUGAAAUGCAUAGAUAUCACGAAGAACCCCGAUUGCGAAGGCAGCCUGCUAAGCUGUAACUGACGUUGAGGCUCGAAAGUGUGGGUAUCAAACAGGAUUAGAUACCCUGGUAGUCCACACGGUAAACGAUGGAUACUCGCUGUUGGCGAUAUACUGUCAGCGGCCAAGCGAAAGCAUUAAGUAUCCCACCUGGGGAGUACGCCGGCAACGGUGAAACUCAAAGGAAUUGACGGGGGCCCGCACAAGCGGAGGAACAUGUGGUUUAAUUCGAUGAUACGCGAGGAACCUUACCUGGGCUUAAAUUGCAGACGAAUUACCUGGAAACAGGUAAGCCGCAAGGCGUCUGUGAAGGUGCUGCAUGGUUGUCGUCAGCUCGUGCCGUGAGGUGUCGGCUUAAGUGCCAUAACGAGCGCAACCCUCGUGGCCAGUUACUAGCAGGUAACGCUGAGGACUCUGGCCAGACUGCCAUCGUAAGAUGCGAGGAAGGUGGGGAUGACGUCAAAUCAGCACGGCCCUUACGUCCGGGGCUACACACGUGUUACAAUGGGAGGUACAGAAGGCAGCUACCCGGCGACGGGAUGCCAAUCUCCAAAGCCUCUCUCAGUUCGGACUGGAGUCUGCAACCCGACUCCACGAAGCUGGAUUCGCUAGUAAUCGCGCAUCAGCCACGGCGCGGUGAAUACGUUCCCG